UGUACCCCAGAAGUGAGGAAUAACUGCCCGAAAGGGUGGCUAAUACCGCAUACGGUCUUCGGAUUAAAGCCUUCGGGCGCUUUGGGAACAGCUUGCGUACGAUUAGAUAGUUGGUGAGGUAAAGGCUCACCAAGUCAACGAUCGUUAACUGGUCUGAGAGGAUGAUCAGUCAGACUGGAACUGAGAUACGGUCCAGACUCCUACGGGAGGCAGCAGUGAGGAAUCUUCCACAAUGGGGGCAACCCUGAUGGAGCAACGCCGCGUGCAGGAUGAAGGCCUUCGGGUCGUAAACUGCUUUUAUAGGUGAAUAAUAUGAAUGUAGCUUAUGAAUAAGCACCGGCUAACUACGUGCCAGCAGCCGCGGUCAUACGUAGGGUGCAAGCAUUAUCCGGAGUGACUGGGCGUAAAGAGUUGCGUAGGUGGUUUGUCAAGUGAAUAGUGAAAUCUGGUGGCUCAACCACACAGACUAUUAUUCAAACUGGCAAACUCGAGAAUAGCAGAGGUAACUGGAAUUUCUAGUGUAGGAGUGAAAUCCGUAGAUAUUAGAAGGAACACCAAUGGCGUAGGCAGGUUACUG
rnacentral:rRNA from 1 species